UACGUAGGGUGCGAGCGUUAAUCGGAAUUACUGGGCGUAAAGGGUUCGUAGGUGGCUCGCUAAGUCAGACGUGAAAUCCCUCAGCUUAACUGGGGAACUGCGUCUGAGACUGGCAAGCUUGAGUGCAGGAGAGGAACGCGGAAUUCCAGGUGUAGCGGUGAAAUGCGUAGAUAUCUGGAGGAACACCGGUGGCGAAGGCGGCGUUCUGGACUGUAACUGACACUGAAGAACGAAAGCCAGGGGAGCAAACGGG
rnacentral:rRNA from 1 species